rnacentral:rRNA from 1 species
CACCGCGGUUAUACGAGAGACUCAAGCUGACAAUCACCGGCGUAAAGAGUGGUUAAUUUUACCAAAAAAUAAAGCCGAACGCCUCCAAAGUUGUAUUACGCAUUCGGAGGUAUGAAGCCCAAUCACGAAAGUGGCUUUACACUCUUUGAAUCCACGAGAGCUAGGAAA